rnacentral:tRNA from 1 species
GGCCCAGUAGCUCAAUCGGAUAGAGCAACUCCCUUCUAAGGAGUAGGUUGGAAGUUCGAGUCUUCCCUGGGUCA